UACGUAGGGUCCGAGCGUUGUCCGGAAUUACUGGGCGUAAAGAGCUCGUAGGUGGUUUGUCGCGUUGUUCGUGAAAACUCACAGCUCAACUGUGGGCGUGCGGGCGAUACGGGCAGACUGGAGUACUGCAGGGGAGACUGGAAUUCCUGGUGUAGCGGUGGAAUGCUGCAGAUAUCAGGAGGAACACCGGUGGCGAAGGCGGGUCUCUGGGCAGUAACUGACGCUGGAGGAGCGAAAGCGUGGGGAGCGAACAGG
rnacentral:rRNA from 1 species